UCUUCUCUCACAUGGGGACCGCCUGCUCCUGCACCUUUAAAAUUUCAUUCUUUAAAGGAAAGUCCAGCCUUCCUGGACUCCUUUGCCCUUCAGGGCUGCCUCCCAAGGGACUCUGUCAACCAGGCUCCUAAACAGGCCAAAGUCUGCCCUUCGGAACUCCAAGGGAGCAGUUCUGCUGACCCCCCUCCUAACUUCUGCAAGAAUCAAAACCUCUUGUUUUGUGAUCACUGUGCCCAAGACAGCCUCCAACCAUCACCUCACCCACAAGUCCUUCUCUGGUCACAAACAAGAGGUCCAGCAGGGAGCCUUCCCUAGUCGGCUCACUCGCCAGCUGGGUCAGGAAGUUAUCGUCUUCCACAUGCUCCAGGAUCUCCUAGACUCUUUCCUCUCUGCUGUGUUGUGUUUCCAGCAGACAUCUGGUAAGCUGAAGUCCCCCAUGAGAACAAAGGUUGUGAGACCCCUCCCAGCUGCUUGUAGAAUAUUCCGCCUGGUUGGGUGGUCUAUAACAGAUUCCCACCACGAUAUCUGCCUUGUUUGCCCUCCCCCUGAUUCUUGCCCAUAAACGCUCAACCCCAUCAUCAUCAUGAUUAAGCUCUAGAGAAUCAAAACACUCCCUAACCUACAGGGCUACCCCACUGCCUCUCCUUCCUUGCCUACCCCUCCCGAAGAGUUUAUAGCCACCCAUUGCAGCACUCCAGUUUUGUGAGUCAUCCCACCGUGUGUACAUGAUGGCAACUAUAUCGUAGUUUUCCUGCUGCACAGUGAAGCUAUGAAAGAGGAGUCCAAGGAAACCCAUGGAAAAUUUGGGAAUGUCCUCCUUCAGAAGUGUAAGUCUCUGCAAAUGGAGAAUCUGCCUUCUGAAGUCGUCUUCUGAGUGGGCCUCCUUACUUAGUUGUGAGCUUACUGGGCUGUCUGGGAAAGACAGGUGUGGGUGAGGUCUUUCCUGCGGCAUCCUGCUCAACAAGCCUCUGCUGUUAGCAGGAUCUGGGGGCUCGUUGUGAGAAGCAUACCGGAGUGCCUCAGCUAUUCUGCAUGAAGGUCCUCGGCCAUUGCUUCCAUGUUGCCCUGUUUCCCGGGGGCAGCCCUGGUGAGUUAGGCAAGUGAGGUGCGAAGGUGGGUGCCAACACUGGUGUAAGUUAUGCCAACAAUUAUGCAACAAAUCUGCUUGGGGCAGGGUGGUUCCUUUUACAGAGGGGUGGUGGUAUAGCCUUUGCCUGGCAGUCAAGUGAUGAGGCUGAUCCUGGAUCCAGGCUGCACAUGUCAAUUCAUGGAAGUCCCUGUUGAGACUAAUGUGCUAAUGGGACAAGAGUUUCCUGAACAUCAAGGGAAUGCAUUUCUCACUGCUAUUCUGGCCUUACAGGCAUCUUCCUGCUACGUCCUCAGUGAGAGCUGAGGAAUAGGCUUAAUACGGUUCCUCCCAAUGGGCAUGUCAGUGGUGGCCCCAGAGAUGGUCUCUCGUAGACCCAUGCCCUGGGCCAGAGCUCUGGCAGCCCAGCUGCUCCCCAUAGCAUAAAGAAUCUUUGGUUUCUGACUACUCUUUAAAGAGAACCACUUCGUGCUCAACUUGAAAUGUUGUUUUCUCAGACAGGAAAGACAUAAAAUUGUAAGGUCUCAUGUAAAUAUGAAAAGUAUUUUAGAUAUUGUUUGACAUUUGAGUUGUAACAUCUCAAAGUCCCAACCAGUCUUAAAAGAACUAUUAGAAGAUGCUUUAUGUGAUUCAUUUUAAAUGUGAUGUGGCUAAGAUUCAACCCACUUAUUAGCUGGUGCGGUGGUGAAUGAUGAGUAAGCUGAGAGAGAUGCAGCCUAACUUUCAGCUCAACACGGGAAAGGGCUUCUGGCUUCUAAAACAUCAUUUCUCAGAGAAAUGAUAGAAAUAUGACUUGAAGAGAUGAGCUCAGACUCUCCUGCUGGUUAAAAGGCUGAAACUGGUUUUGGCCCUUAGGAGGUAAUGUAACGGUUGCACACAAACACUUCUGAAAAGCAGUAAAAACCUUGGAUGGGACCUAAAUUCGUUUAGUCUGUGAAGACUGUUACUUUUAACGGGUUUCUCCAAUUUUUUAAAAUUUUCUUUUCAGAAAUCAGUCUUUUAUGUUUCCUUUUGACUAAGUCAUCAUUCCAGACUCUUUUGCGUUUGUUUCUGCUGACCCGGUCAUCAGUCUUUUCUGAUUUGUAAUAUCUUCUAGUUUCCCAACUGAUGUUACCCAACCCUGCUUAAAGGUUUCCCUUCUCCAGACCUCUCGGGCUAUGUAUGUUUAUGGGCAUACAGGCUGAAAACCUUGGCUAUGAUGAAAGAGCCCCUUCCUAUGCCUCACAGCAAUAUUUUUCCUUGCUUGGUUUCUUUUAGUUUUAUCUGUAGUCCAUGGAAUUAUCUUCUAUUUCUAGUAAAAUGUUUAUUCUGUAUUUGCGUCCUACCCAUUCUCUUUAAGAGAAUGAAAAAAUUAUCUUCCAGAAGAACGAUAUCAACCUCAUGUCCUGCUCCACUCGCGCUUUUCCAAAACAAGGCGAAGGGGAAUCUUCCUUUUGAUUCGAUCUGAAACUACUGUUAUUAAUAGCAUUUUCAUACAGAUUAAUUUUCCAUUUCCUGCAUAAAAUGCCUUUUCUGAGAUUGUACGUAAGCUUUAGAGGGGCGGUUGUACAUUUCCAAAUGUGAAGUGAUACAGUGCUGCUUGCAGAGAGCGGCCACGUUAUCUUGCAGCUGCAACCAGAAUGGCUCUGCAGGCUAUUGCUGCCUCCAGCUGGUCCUGCCAAAGACAACCGCUCCCUCAAAUUUCCUGUGGGAGCUGCUCCCUGGGCUCUUUCAUCCCAAAUAUCCAGACUAGGAUCUCUUUAAACUAACUGUGAAAGGACCUUGAGUCACCCAGAGCUUAGGGAUGAGCCUACCCGGACCUUUUCUUUACAGCGGACAUACCAUGAUGACCCAGGGAGCUGUCAACUUCUAAAGGCUACAUUUAAGUUGAGCUAAAUAAGGACAAUCAGUGUUUAAAAUAUGGAAACUCAGUUUCUUCUGAGUGAGAACAUAGUAAUAUAACAGACCUUUUAAGUAAAUCUCCUUUCUCCUCACAAUUUUUUGUCUCAGUCCAGCAGUAUUUUGGGUUGCAGCAGGCUCCACACAGGCUGAAUGUGCCUGAGAAAUUAGAGCUAGUGGCUGCCCCAAAGGCUAGGCUUACUUCCCUCUUCUGACCGUAGCUGUCUGCUCCUUCUUUCGCAUGAGCUCUUGUGCUUGUCUGACACCCCCAGCUUUUUGAAGCAGCGUGAAACGCUCACUUUUGUUGGCAGAGCUGUCAGAUUGCCCCAGCUGUCUUGCACAACCUCACCCCCGGUGCCUCUGGGUCUCUAAUAAAGAAUUUUUCUGUUGCUUCAGAGGCUUGGCUCUGUCAUUUUCUGCUAUUUUCAGGCAUCUCUUAAUAUCUGCCCUCGCCACAGGCUUCCUGCCUGCUGGGUCAUGCACCCACGCUCCAGGCAGCUUUCCCAGCUCAGGGCUCUCCGCGCAGAGCGGAGCAGGCACGGCGAGGCAAUCAGGCACCCCGGCCACCCAGGGGGAACAGGGUAGGGGCGACCCCGUGCGCGCAGACAGGCAGCAUCCCUCUCCCCCAUACCUGGAGAGGGGCAGCAGUGCUGACUGGUCGUAGAUAUGCCAGAAGUUGUAGCCUUUUAGGCUUGGAGGGAAACCGGAUGUGUUUCUGUAACGGGAGUUUUAGACCUAAAACACAGUGGCGAUCAUUUAAGGUUUAUUGUGUUCCCUCUGGUUGUUUUAGUAAGAAACUCGUUAUUUGAAAAGUAAUUAAUUUAUACCUUUGCUAUCAUGAAAUGGCUUGCUAGAAAAGGUAAACAUUAAUUAUUUUCCAAAUAGACUUGACAAUUUUAGCAAAUGUUAAGAAUAUAUAUUUUCUGACAGCUUUAUACCUGGCCAGUCAGUUGAAUACUUACUUUUUUGUUUCGUUUUUGGUUUUUGUUUUCAGAUAAGAUCCAGAACAUCAAAGAUGCAGUCAUCUUUUAGUUCCACUUCUACUUUUACUUCUACUCCCGGGAUAAGUACUUCACAGCUUUAUGAAUGGGAGCGGUACUUUCCAUUGUCUGGAAAGAUAUUCUGAUUAAUAGUGUGUACAGGUGGAAAACACCUUCUCAAUGCCUUCUUCGAAAUGUCUGAAACAGGCCUGUAGGCGAUGCCCCGCUGCCAUCAGCCAGCCUGCUUCCUUAGCUCAGCAUCUCCCCGUUCGCUCAUGGGCUCAGUUCCCCGGGGAGCACGCUCUCUGCUCGUGACCCUGUAUUCUCCCAGUGCACUCAUUCUUACAAAUACGGACUCAGAAGAUGUGCCAACGAACCUAGCAGAGUUUUCUGGAAGUUAUUGGUAAUGCAGCGUGUCCCACGUGCACCAUUUUGGACGGGCAAAAUAGGCUUGCAUGAGGAGGAGCCUCUGCCCACCGCUUCCCUGCCUGUUCUGCCUCAUGUUCCCUCAGUGGACCUCGGACCCGGAGACUUUUCACAGCAACCCCACUCAGGGAAAACUGUGAGGCCUACGGAAACACUGCUGUAACUCUGCCAAAGGGACAGCCAAAACACAAUUCUGUACAAAUUCUGGCUCAGAAACCCAUGCUGGGAACGAGAGGGGCAGCUGGAUUCCCUGGAUCCCUUUGACUGAUGGAGACUGAAGCAGCUGCGAAGACGACCGGUUUCAAAGCUAUGAAAGACAACUCCUCAGAAACCCCAGAACGUUUGGGAAUAUUUUUUCAGAAAAGGUGAGCUGACAAUUUGUAGGCAGCUGUAAAAAAAAAUAAAUCUAUUCUAGUUCUUAGUACUAAUAAUCUAAUCACAAUUGUGCUUAGAUAACACCGGUUAUACAGAAAAAUGUGGAUGCAUUUACAGAAUAAUAGAGUGUCAAUCAGGUUAUGCAGGUUCAGCUACCUAAAAGUUAGAUAUCUAAGUCAGGCUUGUGGUCUGGGUAUCCUCCUAAAGGAGAGAGGCAAGUGCUUCCCGUGGGAAGUUCACUACUCUAUUGUUGGACCUCUGUCUCGGCGUAUUCCCUUCUCGGGGUACCCAUUCUUCCCGGAGACCAUUUUACCCUCUGAGGAAGUCUCAUGCAAGAAUGAAACCAUUUACUUGUCGCUUAUUGAAGAAUAAACUAUUGGAGGGUUAUGUUACUGGAAAAUGGGCUGUAUUUUUAAAAAAUGUUGUGAAUCAUAGCUUGUCAGCAGAGCAAUACUGAUCAAUUGCUCCUCAUGAUAUUAAUCCUAGGUUUUCUCACCACAGCUAAGCAAAUGGGUGACCUGCUGAUUUCGAGCUCAGCAGAAUGAGCUGAAAUAUUGCAAUUUGGUUUACUGAUAAAUAUGACACAAAUUUUCUGUGAAGAAAAAAACUCACUUUGAUUUUUAUAUCGUGGUGAGAAAUUCCAUUAACCCCACAAACGUUAUGCUUGCUUUUAGAUGUAGGUAUAUGUGACUUACUGAACAUGAAGAAGGAUUUAAUACCUUG